AUGGCGUCCGUCGAUGACCUGGAAGCGGCCACGGUGAGCGGGAUAGCCCAGUCCAUGUUCCCAGGGACUGUCCCGACGAGGGCGCAGUUGGCGCGCUCGCUCUGGGCGCUGGGCUCCCUCACGCUGCUCGUCGGCAUGACCACCGCGUUCCACCUGCCACCGGCCGGCCCGAUCCUCGGCCCGGCCGUGUACUACCCCAUCCUCGCCGUGGUCCUCGCCGCCGCAGCCGUCGAGAUGGCCACGGCCGUCUUUCUGCACGUCCCGGCCAUGUCCUCGGACGGGCCGCGCUUCCACGCCUUCGCCAGGGGUCUGCUGCCCUUGGCGUACCUCCUCCUCCUCGUCGCCGUCUCCGCCAGCGGCUUCGCCAUCCCAUUCAAGCUCCCCAAAUAG
rnacentral:rRNA from 1 species